rnacentral:rRNA from 1 species
UACGAAGGGUGCUAGCGUUGUUCGGAUUUACUGGGCGUAAAGCGCGCGUAGGCGGACGUUUAAGUCAGGGGUGAAAUCCCAGGGCUCAACCCUGGAACGGCCUUUGAUACUGGACGUCUGGAGAUCGGGAGAGGUUGGUGGAAUUCCGAGUGUAGAGGUGAAAUUCGUAGAUAUUCGGAGGAACACCAGAAGCGAAGGCGGCCAACUGGCCCGAUACUGACGCUGAGGCGCGAAAGCGUGGGGAGCAAACAGG